rnacentral:lncRNA from 1 species
AAAGAAGGAGAUUGUAUGUCUGACGUGAAGAAGGAAGGGCAAGGGGCGAGGAGGCCGAUGACAAGAUAAAGGGGGCAUGGCCAGAUCCCACUGAGUGCUUCAGGAUGCAGCAAGGAGACCAGAUUCAUUCUCAGUGCAAGGGGCGGCCUCGUGUUCUCCUCACAUCCCUGUCCAUCUCUGUUUUUUGCCAGCUGCUGUUUCUCCACCUGCUCCUAAGUGCUGCUGUUCUCCCAGCUCCUCUCAUUCUACCUGCAGGAAUCUUGGUUACUUUCACGUGGUAACCGAGACCCCCUGCUCCUCGGCUAUGGACUCAGCCCCGCAGGCACUGGCAUGGGACCCUCUCACAAGGGACCCAGGAAGAAACUAAGAAGAGUCGGCUUGUGGGGAAGGAAUGCGGAAGGACUAAAGGGAUUGAGGAAGGCCUGUUGCAGGAGAGAAAGAAGAGGUGAUCAAGACCAGAGGCUUUGUUUCUGAGGGACCGUGGGAGGAUGGUACGGUGCUUCAAGCACUGGAGUCAGAGAACACAUUCCUGUUAAGGAGCUGGGGAAAGGAAUUCACACGAGGAGAACUGCUGCCGAGCACUCUGAACAUUCUGUGUAUUGUCGGGCGGGGAUGUCCAGCUUGAACCUAAAAAGAAGGGCAUUUCACGUGCCCUUGGUCAUGACCCACAUGCACCGGAUGGCCAGCACUAAGGCUGCCUGGCAAUGUAUCCCUCCCUCCAAGCUCACAGUGCCACAAAGGCCCUAUCAGGCUCUGCUCUCCUCCCACACACCUCUCCAGCCUCACCCUCUCACCACUUCCAGAACCGGCUCUUACACUCCUUAGGGUCCACACAUGCCAUGCUGUUCUCACUGUCUGCAAUAAUUUCACCCCAUGAAGCACUUCCUCCCUGAGCUUUCUCCUGCCUGCUGUCUGUUCGUCCCCUGACUGAUGUUAGCAUGGACGAGUAUUAUAUAAUGGGGGGCAAAACAUGUUUGGACAUCACACAGUCUUGGAUUAGAAUUCCAGCUUUCCUCUACACUCCCUGGAUUAGAAUUCCAGCUUUCCUCUGCACUCCCUUUAAGACCUUAGCAAUCACUGUGUCCAUCUUACCAUGAGUGAAAUGGAGUUUAUUCCAGGACUAUUUGCGGCUCAAAUGACUUUUAUAAAGUGCUCUGCACAUAGUAGGUGCUCAAUAAAUGUUAGCGCCCCUUCUCUGCCCUUGAGGCACUCGAUUAAUGCUUUUCAAUUCUAGAGUCACUGAACAGCUACCAUUUGUUGGAAGCUACCAAGUGUCUGGUGGCACUGUCUUUUCUCCUUUUCCAUGACCACUCUUACUUAUCCUGAGUGUGAUUCUCUUUUCUCAUGCAUUGGAACUGAUGUGCUGGCCAUGCAGAGGAAUAGGCAGGACCUGUCAUUUACUGAGGGUCCACUCUGUGCCUGACCUUCACGAGCUGUUUUCCAGACAGUCUCUCAGUUAAUAUUCACAAUGACUCUUUGAGGUUUGUUGUAUUAAUCACUAUCUUAUAUAUGAGCAAAUUGAGACUCUGGGAAGUUAAAUAACCUUGCUGAGAUUAAACAGCCAGGACUGAUAGAGCCAAGACAGAAAUCCGG